GAUGAACGCUGGCGGCGUGCCUAAUACAUGCAAGUCGAGCGAACGGACGAGUAGCUUGUUUCUCUGAUGUUAGCGGCGGACGGGUGAGUAACACGUGGAUAACCUACCUAUAAGACUUGGAUAACUUCGGGAAACCGGAGCUAAUACCGGAUAAUAUUUUGAACCGGAUGGUUCAAAAGUGAAAGACGGUCUUGCUGUCACUGAUAGAUGGAUCCGCGCCGCAUUAGCUAGUUGGUAAGGUAACGGCUUACCAAGGCAACGAUGCAUAGCCGACCUGAGAGGGUGGUCGGCCACACUGGAACUGCGAAGAGGUCCAGACUCCUACGGGAGGCAGCAGUAGGGAAUCUUCCGCAAUGGGCGAAAGCCUGCCGGAGCAACGCCGCGUGAGUGAUGAAGGUCUUCGGAUCGUAAAACUCUGUUAUUAGGGAAGAACAUAUGUGUAAGUAACUGUGCACAUCUUGACGGUACCUAAUCAGAAAGCCACGGCUAACUACGUG
rnacentral:rRNA from 1 species